rnacentral:misc_RNA from 1 species
AUAACCACACAAGCUUUGCUUGGUAUUGGGGAUUGCAACUCUUGCAGCCCUAAAGUCCAGUGGCGGCCCCGUUGGGUUCUAAGCGUAGUAAUUCUUCUCGCUACAGGAUCUCUCAGUGCCAGGGCUUCAGUGCCCGCGCCAUUAAACCCCCCAUUUUACAGGUUGACCUCGGAUCAAGUAGGGAUACCCGCUGAACUUAA